rnacentral:rRNA from 1 species
CCUACGGGAGGCAGCAGUGAGGAAUAUUGGUCAAUGGACGAGAGUCUGAACCAGCCAAGUAGCGUGAAGGAUGACUGCCCUAUGGGUUGUAAACUUCUUUUAUAUGGGAAUAAAACGUUCCACGUGUGGGAUUUUGUAUGUACCAUAUGAAUAAGGAUCGGCUAACUCCGUGCCAGCAGCCGCGGUAAUACGGAGGAUCCGAGCGUUAUCCGGAUUUAUUGGGUUUAAAGGGAGCGUAGGUGGAUUGUUAAGUCAGUUGUGAAAGUUUGCGGCUCAACCGUAAAAUUGCAGUUGAAACUGGCAGUCUUGAGUACAGUAGAGGUGGGCGGAAUUCGUGGUGUAGCGGUGAAAUGCUUAGAUAUCACGAAGAACUCCGAUUGCGAAGGUAGUUCACUGGACUGCAACUGACACUGAGGCUCGAAAGUGUGGGUAUCAAACAGGAUUAGAUACCCCAGUAGUC